rnacentral:tRNA from 1 species
AGGUUCAAUUUAAAAUUGAAUGGACGUGGGUUCAAAUCCCACCAG